rnacentral:rRNA from 1 species
UACGUAGGGGGCAAGCGUUGUCCGGAUUUAUUGGGCGUAAAGAGCGUGUAGGCGGCCAGACAGGUCCGUUGUGAAAACUCGAGGCUCAACCUCGAGCUGUCGGUGGAAACCGUGUGGCUAGAGUCCGGAAGAGGCGAGUGGAAUUCCCGUGGUAGCGGUGAAAUGCGCAGAUAUCGGAAGAACACCCGUGGCCGAAGGCGGCUAG